rnacentral:rRNA from 2 species
CCCUAGUAACUGCGAGUGAAGCGGGAAAAGCUCAAAUUUAAAAUCUGGCGGUCUUUGGCUGUCCGAGUUGUAAUCUAGAGAAGUGUUAUCCGCGCUGGACCGUGUACAAGUCUCCUGGAAUGGAGCGUCAUAGAGGGUGAGAAUCCCGUCUUUGACACGGACUGCCAGGGCUUUGUGAUGCGCUCUCAAAGAGUCGAGUUGUUUGGGAAUGCAGCUCAAAAUGGGUGGUAAAUUCCAUCUAAAGCUAAAUAUUGGCGAGAGACCGAUAGCGAACAAGUACCGUGAGGGAAAGAUGAAAAGAACUUUGGAAAGAGAGUUAAACAGUACGUGAAAUUGCUGAAAGGGAAACGCUUGAAGUCAGUCGCGUUGGCCGGGGAUCAACCUUGCUUUUGCUGGGCGUACUUUCCGGUUGACGGGUCAGCAUCAAUUUUGACCGUUGGAUAAAGUCUAGGGGAAUGUGGCAUCUUCGGAUGUGUUAUAGCCCUUGGUCGCAUACAACGAUUGGGAUUGAGGAACUCAGCACGCCGCAAGGCCGGGUAUUUUACCACGUUCGUGCUUAGGAUGCUGGCAUAAUGGCUUUAAUCGACCCGUCUUGAAACACGGACCAAGGAGUCUAACAUGCCUGCGAGUGUUUGGGUGGAAAACCCGAGCGCGUAAUGAAAGUGAAAGUUGAGAUCCCUGUCGUGGGGAGCAUCGACGCCCGGACCAGACCUUUUGUGACGGAUCCGCGGUAGAGCAUGUAUGUUGGGACCCGAAAGAUGGUGAACUAUGCCUGAAUAGGGUGAAGCCAGAGGAAACUCUGGUGGAGGCUCGUAGCGAUUCUGACGUGCAAAUCGAUCGUCAAAUUUGGGUAUAGGGGCGAAAGACUAAUCGAACCAUCUAGUAGCUGG